UAGAGAUUCUCGUACUAAGUGAAGUAAGUCGGAAAGACAAAAUUCCAUGAUAUCACUUACAUGGGGAAUCCAAAAUAUGGCACAAAUGAACCUAUCUGUAAAACAGAGACAGACUCGCAGACGUAGAGAACAGACUUGUGGCUGCCAAGGAGGGGGGAGGAAGUGGGAUGGACUAGAAGUUUGGGAUUAGUAGAUACAAACUAUUACAUUUAGAAUGAAUAAGCAAUGAGACCCUACUGUAUAGCACAGGGAACUAUAUCCAGUCUCUUGGGAUAGACCAUGAUGGAAUAUAGCAUGAGAAAAAGAAUGUAUGUAUGUGUCUGUGUGUGUGUGUCUGUUAACCAACUGUCCCCAUCCAAAGUUAUUGCAACCACAUUCCUUGUGUAUAUGAUUACAUCCUUGUGACUUAUUAUAUAACUGGAGGUUUGUACCUCUCAAUACCUUCACCUGUUUCUCCCACCUCACCACCCCCUUCCUUCUGGCAUCUGCCAGUUUGUUCUCUGUAUCUAGGAAUCUGUUUUCAUUUUGCUGUUUGUUUAUUUGUUCUGUGGGUAGUGCAUCUCUAGACUUGCUUUUUACCGCAAACUGUGCUGCCCCUUGGCUAAUCUGCCCCUGGAACUCAGAAAAGUGUUGGAGGUUGGUCUCUUAGAGCAAUUGCUGGGUCCAGAGGCUCACUGUGAUGCAAGGACAGAGGAAGAGGCAUCAUGACACAAGUCAUUCUUUACAAAAGAGAGCAACCUGAGAUCACCACCCUCUUGAGAAAUUGGAGGAGUCACCUCCCAGAGUGGGUGGGUGCUCUGAGACCCUGGAAGUUUCCUUCCUAAAGGCUGCCACACACAGAGCUACAUAGAGCAUAGGGGAAAGAUUUGCUCAUUAAGAGACACCAAGUGUGAAGCAGCCACACCCAUCCUACCAAGACCUUCACAAGAAGAGAAGGGAAAGUGUCUCCAACUUCCUCUAGUAGCUCCUGAGUCAUGCUAGUCUUGUAUUUGGUUGAUAUUCCUGUUAUUUGUUUAUUUGCUUGUAUUCUAUUAUAUUCUUCAAAUGAACUAGAUGUUGUUCACAAAGACAGUCAGAUUAUGGCAAAAUGACAUUAAAAAAAAAAAAAACAAAAAACAAAAACCUCCAAAAAAUGAGGCACGGGAGAUGGAAGAAUAGGAAAGCUUUCUAACAGCCAAGGCAAAGGAAAGCACAAUAAAUGGCAUGAGUGACAGCACAACAGAUAAAAACAAACAGGAGCUGAGUUGGCACAAGCUCACAUUGUGAGGCAAGGAUGCAAGGGCACAGGCAGAAGCACAGUAGGAAACAUACCAAGACACCAAAAUUGGGUCACAUCCUCGGAGUGAUGCUCCUCCUGGAUUCUCCCUCAAAGAGAACCUUCAUCAGGCCCCAGCUGUCAACCUCAGUAGCACCUUGUAUCAAAAUGAAAUCCUUCUCCAUCCUCCCACCCGCUGAGGAUUUCUCUCUUUUCUGCUUAGACUGAGGGUGCACCUCCUUUCUAUUCUGCUGAAGCUGUUGUACAGAGCCUGCCUGAUGCUCUCCAGAUAUUCAGCUCUUGGAUGAAUUGGCUUAACCUGGGUCAGUGUAAGGGAUUCAGAGCAAUGUAUUUCCAUGGCAGAGACUACUCUGAGUUCACCAGAGCCUGUUUCCUUCCCUCCUGGGUAUAUAUGUACUUUUCCCAGACUCCUGUGCAGCCAGGCAUGUUCUUAACCCUGAGCUUGAAUAGAAGUGAUGUGGGUCACUCCUGAGCUGAAAUGGUUGAGAAAUAAAUGCAUUCUCUCCACGAUCCCUUUCCCCAUCUGCUGAGUAAAAGGAAAAGACUGUAAGGACCAGAAGAAAGGGAGCCACCAGAAGGACUGCAGAGGGUUGGGUAGCAGGAUGCCCAGCCAGAAAACGUUCACUGGACCGUGAUGGGAAAAAGGAACCCACUUGUAUUGUGUCAAGCCACUGAGAUUUCCAGAUUUAUCUGUUCGAGUAGGUAGCAUCAUUUUAACGAACACAGUUCCCCUUGGGAAAUGCUCUUCAAACGCAAUUCCUCUCAACCAAAACGAAAGGUUUGAGUGACACCAAGUUCAAGGUUACAUUCCCUGACAACUAAGAGUGCAAAUAUUCUCUGUUGCAAGGAAGUGGUAGGUGUAAAACGCUAUGUUUUAAUAGUCACCCAAAGUGGGAGUAAGAUUAACACACUCUUGUCAAAAUUGUGUCACCUUACAGGAACUCCUGCCUGAAUAGAGGGUGCUUGUAUCUCCUUUUGGCAAUAAGCCAGGAGGUGCCUGUGGGUAGGGCCAAGAUUCGCCUCAGAAAGUCCUUCUGGCUUUGCCUUAACACAGGGAAAAAAUGGUAAUCAAGGCCACAGUUUCAUACAAUGGAAUCUGCUACAGUAACUGUAACUUGAAAACAUUGUUAAACAACUAUAACCCUCUGUUGCUGCUUAAAAGUUAAAAAAAAAAAAAACAAACUUGGACAGCGAACUUGGGCAACACCCCCUCUCAUCCUGGGCUAUAGUUUCCAGACGUGACAGAUGACAACUGGAUGGGAUGGGCCAAAACCGAAAUUUAUAACCACUGUGUAUGAUGCCAAACAAAAACUCUCUAGUAUGCCGCUAGUAAAUACUAUUUACAUUCUGGUACAGAUCUGUAGCAUGUCACUAGUAAAUCCAGUUCUGUUCCAUCAGCUAAGUGAGCAGAACAAGCACACCAGGUACCAUAUCCAUCCUACUAGUGAGAUACAGUAUUCCUGGACCAGGUCCUGGAGCCUAACACCAGGAUGGAAAGGUAGCUGACAACACUCAGAACCGUCCCACCCAGAGCAUGUGCAGCAGUGCUCAGUGAUCGUGUCGCCAUCACAUGAGAUGUUAAGGGAAGAUCCAGGUUUGUGAGCCUUGCUGGUGUGCAGGGCGACUUUGCUCCUGAUGGGCACUUGGUGUUGAAUUGUCUGCAGAGAUUGGCAGUUUGCCCAGGAAUGAGCUCCCGGGUUCUCCAGAUUCAGUGGUCAGACAGAGCAAAAUCAUUGAAAUAGCCAAGUGAUGAGACGGAGUUAGGCUCCGUGCAGGGCUGGUGCCCCUGCAGUGUGGCCUGUGCAGCCAAUAUCCACCCAAGGGACACAACUGCCCUUAAUUUCCAACUUCACCCAGGCCACAUGGGAUCUGACUCCUUUGUCCCUAAAGCAGGUAAAGCCAAACUCUGGCUAAAGGAUGAAAAACUCACACCGAAGAACCCCAGAUAUGAUUUUUAAAAAACUCUCAUUUGAUGUCCUAAAUCAUCCUGGAAUCAAGCUCUAAGAUUUUCCCUUUUCUGAGAAGGUGGCGGCAGGGGUGGGGGGGAGAACAUGAGCUGAUAUUCCCCCAAGGAAAACUGGGGUCCUUGGGUCUGUGGGGUUUAUAGUCCAAAGUGUCUUUUACCCAAACCCAAGCAGUGACCUGGGGGUGCUGUGAGAGGGAGGGGCUUUGUUGCUUCUUGACUCAUGGAUUGUCCAUCCUUCUCCACUGGCAGGACCUUGGAGGAGGCAGGUGGGUCCUGUUAUGAGGUUGCUCCAGGAAACCACUGGGCAGAGCCUCUCAAACUUUCAGUGUUACUUAUGAAACACCUGGGCAUCAAGAUUCUGCAUUUGUAGCCAACCUCCAGGUGAGGGUGAUGGUGCCCUGGAGUCCCUACUCUGAGUAGGAGGGUCCAGAGGAUGGUGCCAUGUAUAGAAUGAUGUUUGGACGAACAGUGCUGUGUGCAGCGCCCCAGAGCCUGUCAUAGAGGCUCGAGGGGUCUGUGGUGGGAAGGGUCUGAGUGAGGAGAAGGGAUCCAGGAGAAUGGCUCUCCAGGGUCUGUGAAGAGCACCCCUCCUGGCCUUCCUUCCACUUACCUUGACUUUGUGCUUCGUGUCUUUGCUUUUACAAAUUUGGAGGGGCCUCAUUAUACCUUACAUCUGAGCUAGGCAUUUAUACCAAUCUGAGAAUGUAAUCAGGCUGGCGGAAGGCCCCAGGGCUGGUCCACAUCCUCAGCUCCUUGCUGCCUCUCGAGCAUCUCAGGUCAAGCCCAGCUCAGCCUUGUUCUCCCCAUCCUCCUGGGAUGCUGAGGAGGAGGACGCCUCCACUCUUGAACAGGCUUGGCUUCUCGCAUCCUGACACGUGCAUGUUUUCUGUUUUAUAAGAAGAAAUGUGUCUUGGCUGGAGGCCCACGUUUCGUUCCAGCACAUCUUUUUUACCAAAAGAGCCGUCCCUGGAGCUGCCAACAGUGUUUAUGAGAAAGCCAUCCAACAAUACUUUGGAUCUGGGAGUGUGGCCUGACCACAGACAUGGCCUUCCCCACCCUGAGAACCAUCCAUCAGAAAGCCUGGCACAUGGUGUAGUGUCUUUAUUUU
rnacentral:lncRNA from 1 species